GUGAAUCAUCAAAUCUUUGAACGCAUAUUGCACUCUCUGGUAUUCCGGAGAGUAUGCCUGUUUGAGGGUCAGUUAAAUAAAAAUCGGGGUUUUUGCCACCUUUGGUGGUGACGCUUCGGAAUUGGGACGUCUUUAGCUGUCGGAUAAGUGACUUAAAAUUUGUUAAUGAUAGCUGAAGGUAUUUAAAUUUAUUUGGUACGCCGUUGUAAUAUCUAAUGUUUAUUAGGUUGUGGCAUUCUCAUGACUCACGUCUAUAAUUUUUCAUCUAAUGACCUCAAAUCAGU
rnacentral:misc_RNA from 1 species